rnacentral:rRNA from 1 species
CAUGNUGUNGAACGGCAGCGCGGGAGCAAACANNGCGGCGAGUGGCGAACGGGUGAGUAACAUAUCGGAACGUGCCCUGGAGUGGGGGAUAACUAGUCGAAAGAUUAGCUAAUACCGCAUACGAUCUACGGAUGAAAGUGGGGGAUCCGCAAGGACCUCAUGCUCGUGGAGCGGCCGAUAUCUGAUUAGCUAGUUGGUGGGGUAAAAGCCUACCAAGGCGACGAUCAGUAGCUGGUUUGAGAGAACGACCAGCCACACUGGGACUGAGACACGGCCCAGACUCCUACGUUAGUUUGCAGUGGGGANUUUUGGACAAUGGGGGCAACCCUGAUCCAGCAUUGCCGCGUGUGUGAAGAAGGUCUUCGGUUUGUACUGCACUUUUGUCAGGGUAGA